rnacentral:rRNA from 1 species
CGAGGGGAGUGAAAAAGAACCUGAAACCGUGUACGUACAAGCAGUGGGAGCACGCUUAGGCGUGUGACUGCGUACCUUUUGUAUAAUGGGUCAGCGACUUAUAUUCUGUAGCAAGGUUAACCGAAUAGGGGAGCCGAAGGGAAACCGAGUCUUAACUGGGCGUUAAGUUGCAGGGUAUAGACCCGAAACCCGGUGAUCUAGCCAUGGGCAGGUUGAAGGUUGGGUAACACUAACUGGAGGACCGAACCGACUAAUGUUGAAAAAUUAGCGGAUGACUUGUGGCUGGGGGUGAAAGGCCAAUCAAACCGGGAGAUAGCUGGUUCUCCCCGAAAGCUAUUUAGGUAGCGCCUCGUGAAUUCAUCUCCGGGGGUAGAGCACUGUUUCGGCAAGGGGGUCAUCCCGACUUACCAACCCGAUGCAAACUGCGAAUACCGGAGAAUGUUAUCACGGGAGACACACGGCGGGUGCUAACGUCCGUCGUGAAGAGGGAAACAACCCAGACCGCCAGCUAAGGUCCCAAAGUCAUGGUUAAGUGGGAAACGAUGUGGGAAGGCCCAGACAGCCAGGAUGUUGGCUUAGAAGCAGCCAUCAUUUAAAGAAAGCGUAAUAGCUCACUGGUCGAGUCGGCCUGCGCGGAAGAUGUAACGGGGCUAAACCAUGCACCGAAGCUGCGGCAGCGACGCUUAUGCGUUGUUGGGUAGGGGAGCGUUCUGUAAGCCUGCGAAGGUGUGCUGUGAGGCAUGCUGGAGGUAUCAGAAGUGCGAAUGCUGACAUAAGUAACGAUAAAGCGGGUGAAAAGCCCGCUCGCCGGAAGACCAAGGGUUCCUGUCCAACGUUAAUCGGGGCAGGGUGAGUCGACCCCUAAGGCGAGGCCGAAAGGCGUAGUCGAUGGGAAACAGGUUAAUAUUCCUGUACUUGGUGUUACUGCGAAGGGGGGACGGAGAAGGCUAUGUUGGCCGGGCGACGGUUGUCCCGGUUUAAGCGUGUAGGCUGGUUUUCCAGGCAAAUCCGGAAAAUCAAGGCUGAGGCGUGAUGACGAGGCACUACGGUGCUGAAGCAACAAAUGCCAUGCUUCCAGGAAAAGCCUCUAAGCAUCAGGUAACAUCAAAUCGUACCCCAAACCGACACAGGUGGUCAGGUAGAGAAUACCAAGGCGCUUGAGAGAACUCGGGUGAAGGAACUAGGCAAAAUGGUGCCGUAACUUCGGGAGAAGGCACGCUGAUAUGUAGGUGAAGCGACUUGCUCGUGGAGCUGAAAUCAGUCGAAGAUACCAGCUGGCUGCAACUGUUUAUUAAAAACACAGCACUGUGCAAACACGAAAGUGGACGUAUACGGUGUGACGCCUGCCCGGUGCCGGAAGGUUAAUUGAUGGGGUCAGCGCAAGCGAAGCUCUUGAUCGAAGCCCCGGUAAACGGCGGCCGUAACUAUAACGGUCCUAAGGUAGCGAAAUUCCUUGUCGGGUAAGUUCCGACCUGCACGAAUGGCGUAAUGAUGGCCAGGCUGUCUCCACCCGAGACUCAGUGAAAUUGAACUCGCUGUGAAGAUGCAGUGUACCCGCGGCAAGACGGAAAGACCCCGUGAACCUUUACUAUAGCUUGACACUGAACAUUGAGCCUUGAUGUGUAGGAUAGGUGGGAGGCUUUGAAGUGUGGACGCCAGUCUGCAUGGAGCCGACCUUGAAAUACCACCCUUUAAUGUUUGAUGUUCUAACGUUGACCCGUAAUCCGGGUUGCGGACAGUGUCUGGUGGGUAGUUUGACUGGGGCGGUCUCCUCCUAAAGAGUAACGGAGGAGCACGAAGGUUGGCUAAUCCUGGUCGGACAUCAGGAGGUUAGUGCAAUGGCAUAAGCCAGCUUGACUGCGAGCGUGACGGCGCGAGCAGGUGCGAAAGCAGGUCAUAGUGAUCCGGUGGUUCUGAAUGGAAGGGCCAUCGCUCAACGGAUAAAAGGUACUCCGGGGAUAACAGGCUGAUACCGCCCAAGAGUUCAUAUCGACGGCGGUGUUUGGCACCUCGAUGUCGGCUCAUCACAUCCUGGGGCUGAAGUAGGUCCCAAGGGUAUGGCUGUUCGCCAUUUAAAGUGGUACGCGAGCUGGGUUUAGAACGUCGUGAGACAGUUCGGUCCCUAUCUGCCGUGGGCGCUGGAGAACUGAGGGGGGCUGCUCCUAGUACGAGAGGACCGGAGUGGACGCAUCACUGGUGUUCGGGUUGUCAUGCCAAUGGCACUGCCCGGUAGCUAAAUGCGGAAGAGAUAAGUGCUGAAAGCAUCUAAGCACGAAACUUGCCCCGAGAUGAGUUCUCCCUGACUCCUUGAGAGUCCUGAAGGAACGUUGAAGACGACGACGUUGAU